GGGCCAUCCUAGAUAGCCAUGCAUGCCUUCGAAUAAGAGGAAGCAAUUCUCUCUGAAUCUGCGAACGGCUCCGCAAACCAGUUGUAAACUAAAGCAAGCAUGUUGGUUGGGCGGGUUCCUCCCAAGGGGCUCGUCCAGCUGGCGACACGGAUAACCCUGGUAAUUCUGAGGCUAAUACGAGAACGUAAUCCCCGGUUGACCGGCUUUUCUUCUGUCUUCUUUCGGGAAGCCGGAUUUUUCGCUGGGAUGUCGGGAAGCGUGCGAGCUAUUAACACGAGGCAACUUACCAGGAAAGGACGCACGCUUGGACCGCGCCAAAAAAAGGAUCGGGUGGAAGGCCUAGACUUGUCUCGCGCAGGGGUAAGCCUGAAAUCCGGCCCUAGCGGCUCUUGCGAUGUGCUUCUGACCUAUCAACUAGACGGCAGCGUAACGGACAUGCUAUGGUUACAACGGGUACAGAGGAUUAGGGUUCGAUCCUGGAGAGUGGGCCUGAGAGAUUGCUCAUACUUCUAAGGAAGGCAGCAGGCGCGCAACGUUCCCAUUGGGCAAUGCCCGAGGGCGUUAGGGGACAUAUGAAUGCCUGCCAAAUUGGUGGGCAAUUCAAAUGGGGUUGUUCUAAACAGCCUCUCGAGUAACAUUAAAAAGGACA
rnacentral:rRNA from 1 species